GAUUGGAAACUCCAGGUUCUUAGAACUCGAGAAAUAGAGCGAAGUUUGCGCAGCUAGCGUUUCUUGAAACCAUGGAGAAGUUUGCUGAUUCUGUAAGAGCCACCUUUCUCAAUCUUACUCAGUAAUAUUCACAGGAGAGAGAGAGUGUGUGCUUUUUUUGUUGUAAACGAAACCCAUGGAGAUGGUCUCUGAUUCUAUAGGGAUUGCCUUUUUGUUGUAAACGAAACCCAUGGAGAUGGUCUCUGAUUCUAUAGGGACCAUCAUCGAUCAUCUCACUCGAAGAGGAUGGUGGUUUAGAAACAAUGCAGAGAUUCGUGAGCUCAUCACCAACAAGUUCAAUACAGAGGAGAACACUGUGUCUUGGGAAGAUAUUGAAACAGAGCUAUUGAACAUGGAUUUGAGAUUGGUGGGUGCAAAAUCACUGCCUGAUCCUUCCAAUUUUAAAAGACAUUCACAUCUUCAAGGUCCCAAGAUAUUACAGGUUAACUUUGUUAAAGAUGUCGGUCAAAGCACCAUUGAGGCCUCUGCAACAAGUUUGCAACAUCAUCGACGCCUUUUACGGUUCUGCCUUACUGAUGGUUUCUCUGAAGUUAUUGCCAUAGAGUACACUCCAAUAUCAUUGAUCACGAAAGAAAUUAUUCCUGGCAAUAAGGUUCGGUUAGAGAAUAACACAGCAAUACGGAGUGGCAUAAUAUGUUUGGAACCCAAAAUGCUAACUAUACUUGGGGGCCAUGUGCAAUCUAUUUAUGAAGAAUGGGAGAUGACUCAAAAAUAUUCAGGAUUCUCUCGCUUAUCUUUGAGAUCUCAAAACAAUGGUUUUGGUGGUCCACCUCCAUUUGAAAGAUUGGAAAUUGGGGCAUUCCCUCAGAGAACUACUCAGCAACCAAGACUUCACUUAAACCCCUCAUCCUCAAAACAGACAGACCAAAACACCAUGAAGCUGGGUGGAUGUUUUCAGGAGGAAAAAACAGGUGGGACUCAGGGUUCGCAGUCUAUUUCAAGAGGCCAUGAAAACUAUGAUUCAAGGAGCAGCAGCAGGAAUGAUGAAAAACUAGUUUCAACCUCAGAAAUAGAUGAAGACAAACCAAUUAGCUCAGAUUCCAGGGCAAAAGAAAUUGCUGAAGCUGUUCCAGUUCAAAAUCAAGCAGCUGCGCAAAAACUUCUACAGAGAAUGAAUCAGCCAACCAACCAACAUUCAAAAUUUGGAAGCGGAGGUGGACCAAAGCAUAGAGGGAAAGGCAGGCAAGAAGAGCCUACAGUCUUCACACUGGAAGAAUGGGAGAGAGGGAAAGGGGCUUCCAAGGCACUAUCUAAGUCUGGUCAUCAAGAUAUCAGCCAUGAUGAGGAACUUGCUAGGCAGCUGCAGAACCAAUUAGAUUUAGAAGAUUACAAUGUGAAUUUGGGUUCCGGAGAUGCUGCAGAAAAAAUACGCAUGAGUAUGUUCAAUUUUGGGAGAGGAGAAGAGACAAUAGACUUUGGACAGGGAGAUUAUAGAGGAAGGGGAAGGGGAAGGGGCAGGGGAAGGGGAAGGGGAAGGGGAAGGGGAAGGGGAAGCGGAAGAGGAAAGAGGGGGUUUUGAUACAUCAUAUUUCUCCUUUCAAUAUUUAUCUUGUACCAGAGCACUGUAGCUAUUGUAAACAGAGCAAGGUCCAUUCUUCGUCCCUGAAGUAUUGUUGCCGAUUUUCAAGACGAGUCUUAUCAGAGCUAGGUUAAUUAGAAAGGUGAAUCUUCAGCAAUAUGCGAGUCUUGAUCUUAAGGCUUUUGCAGAAAAUCGCUACAAUUGAUCGGCGGGACAUCUUUCACAUUCCAACUGCUUAUCGGUGGCAUCUGUCGCAUCCUGGCUGCUGAUCGGUUGCUGUAUAUUCCGGUGGUUAAGAUCAUUCUUCGCAACUUUAUCGUCACAUAUUUCUUGCUGCCUGCUGAGCCCUUGCAACCUUCUGUUUUGUACACCAUUGCUGCCUGCUGAGCGCUUGCAGCCUUCUGUUUUGUACACCAUUUCUCUGUUGUAUAUUCUUUGCACCCCCUGUUGACUUCUUCCUUUGCUGUUGUAUAUUCUUUAGUGACUAAAACAAAAACAAAACAACGAGGGCGCAAAGAAUGCUCCCAACCUCGUUACAUCGGCUGCCCUCUUUCUA